GCAAGUCAAGGACAAACAGAACUUCGGUUUUGUGGACACUGGCGCACGGGUGAGUAACGCGUAGGCAAUCUACCUUUAUCACUGACAUAACAGGCCUAACGGCCUGCUAAUGGCAGAUAGCACAAUCGGAUGGCAUCUUUUGAUUGUGAAAGGGGCAACCUGGAUAAAGACGAGCCUGCGUCCCAUUAGGUAGUUGGCGGGGUAACGGCCCACCAAGCCGGCGAUGGGUAGCUGGUCUGAGAGGAUGAUC
rnacentral:rRNA from 1 species